GAGUGGAGGUGAGGGUGGCACGCAUCUUUAACACCUUUGGGUCCCGGAUGCACAUGAACGACGGCCGUGUGGUCAGCAACUUCAUACUGCAGGCUCUACAGGGAGAGCCCCUCACCGUGUAUGGUAGUGGAUCCCAGACGAGGGCCUUCCAGUAUGUGAGACUGAUAGUUGGGCUCGGUUGGAGGGGCGUAGGGGUCUGGAUAUAUCAACUUUGUAACACUCGCAGGAAUCUGGAGGCAAUGGACAGGCGGCUGGCUGGACAUGGGAACUCCGACCACAAGUUUUUUUAGGGGAGAGAAAGGUAAUAUUUGCUUUAGAUUACAAAGG